AGUCAGCAGAUUGCUCCGGGCAGCAAGGACACUUCGACAGUAUUCUCCAGUCCGUCCCCGGCCUUUUGGUCUUCGGUACGGAACCUUACGAGGAAAUGCAUUGGAAGAAGGGAACAUACUUGUUCGCGUUGGCGGCAAAAUGGGUGACAGCCACAGAGGAGCAAUGACCUGGGUGAGCACAGGCAGGGACCGUGCAGUGGCCCCAAAUCGCGAGGUAGAUGUUUGCCAAGUCACAAAGCGGAGGGCCAGGGUCCUUGUGUCCUCAAGAGCCGGCCCAGUGCCAGGAAGUCCUGGGUGUACCGUUUUCACUAUUUCUAUUCGUGCAGCAGUUGCCUUUUCGAACUGAGAUAGUCGCGUAGAACGAUUUUUAAACCAAGGUAGCAUUUUCCUUCCUCUUUUAAAAGUGCAGUUGCGGGUGAGAAAGCCAUGCUGAUGUGCUUCACGUGGAAGCGCCAUUCCACGCGUGGGAGAAAACGUGAGAGCUGUCAGCGACAGUGGUGACGAGCCUUUGCCAUCAUCCUGGCUCAGAUGGAUGUUUCACACUCCGAUUUGGAACAAGAGACAGAGCCGUGAAACAUGGUCCUGUGCCAGAAAAACACCAGAGAGAGUUCCAGACCCAGGAGGGGACCCGGAGAGAAGGUCAGAAACGCAGGACGGACCGGGCACGUUCGCUGCGCGUUAAUGGGGCUGACAGGACAGAGGGCGCUGCGGGCACCGACCUCCACCAGGCGACCCAGAAGCCCAAGUGCGCGCCUGCGCUCACGCUGCGGACAGAGAUCAGCCUCAGUUGACGACUGGCCGUGUCGUGACACUCGCAUCGUUUCUACCUUCUGUUACAUUAAACGUCAGGAACCGAUCGUGUGUAAUGAGAAACGAGGUGGGAAGCGAGUAGGUGAACCAAGUCUCCCUCCUGCCCGUUACCUCACUCACUGUGGCCGCUGACCCGAGGCAGGACCCACCUGUGUCCUUGAGGUCAGUGAGUACACGCCUGCCUGUGAGCUUCGUACGCAAAGUCAAGAACAAUGACCAGCACAGUUUGAAACCAUGGGAGCUCUUAGAGGUUGUGCCUUGAAUCGGUAGGACAAGUGCUGACCCGCAGUCACCUGCAGAGCAUGCUGGGAAAUUCCACCUUGUAUUCGGUACAAGUCUGGGUGGUUUCCAUAAGUAACUUUACUGUAAGAAAUAAAUGCUUAUGUUCUUAGUAACA